UACGGGGGGGGGCAAGCGUUGUUCGGAAUACUGGCGUAAGCGCACGCAAGCGGUUCUACAAGUCUGGCGUGAAAUUCUCUGGCUUAACCAGGGGCGGUCGCUGGAGACUGUAGGACUUGAGGCGAUGAGAGGGGUGCAGAAUUCCCGGUGUAGAGGUGAAAUUCGUAGAUAUCGGGAGGAACACCAGUGGCGAAGGCGGCGAUCUGGGAAGAUAUUGACGCUGAGGCGCGAA
rnacentral:rRNA from 1 species